UACGGGGGGGGGCAAGCGUUGUUCGGAAUUACUGGGCGUAAAGGGCUCGUAGGUGGCCAACUAAGUCAGACGUGAAAAUCCCUCAGCUUAACUGGGGAACUGCGUCUGAUACUGGAUGGCUUGAGUUUGGGAGAGGGAUGCGGAAUUCCAGGUGUAGCGGUGAAAUGCGUAGAUAUCUGGAGGAACACCGGUGGCGAAGGCGGCAUCCUGGACCAAUAUUGACGCUGAGGAGCGAAAGCCAGGGGAGCAAACGGG
rnacentral:rRNA from 1 species